rnacentral:rRNA from 1 species
AGCGAACGCUGGCGGCAGGCCUAACACAUGCAAGUCGAACGAACUCUUCGGAGUUAGUGGCGGACGGGUGAGUAACACGUGGGAACGUGCCUUUAGGUUCGGAAUAACUCAGGGAAACUAGUGCUAAUACCGAAUGUGCCCUUCGGGGGAAAGAUUUAUCGCCUUUAGAGCGGCCCGCGUCUGAUUAGCUAGUUGGUGAGGUAAAGGCUCACCAAGGCGACGAUCAGUAGCUGGUCUGAGAGGAUGAUCAGCCACAUUGGGACUGAGACACGGCCCAAACUCCUACGGGAGGCAGCAGUGGGGAAUCUUGCGCAAUGGGCGAAAGCCUGACGCAGCCAUGCCGCGUGAAUGAUGAAGGUCUUAGGAUUGUAAAAUUCUUUCACCGGGGACGAUAAUGACGGUACCCGGAGAAGAAGCCCCGGCUAACUUCGUG